rnacentral:rRNA from 1 species
CUUGGUCAUUUAGAGGAAGUAAAAGUCGUAACAAGGUUUCCGUAGGUGAACCUGCGGAAGGAUCAUUAACGAUUGCGAAUGCUCACCUUCAGUGCUGGCUCCUCCGAGUACGUGCACGUUGGUGGCUUUCAUCCAAUACCACACCCUUGUGCACCUUUGGCCUCUCCCUGGCUUCGGCUGGUAGAGGAUUUUUUUUACACACACUCGAAUGUAAUGAAAACUAUUGUUGUGCGCAUGCACUAAUGUACAACUUUCAACAACGGAUCUCUUGGCUCUCGCAUCGAUGAAGAACGCAGCGAAAUGCGAUAAGUAAUGUGAAUUGCAGAAUUCAGUGAAUCAUCGAAUCUUUGAACGCACCUUGCACCCUUUGGAAUUCCGAAGGGUAUGCUCGUUUGAGUGUCAUUGUACUCUCACACUCUCCUCCUUUGGAAGGAGAGCGGUGGACUUGGGUGUUGCUGCUUUCCUUGUGGCUCAUCUGAAAUGUGUCAGUGCACCUCUUGGUUGGACAUAGUACGGCGUGAUAAGUGUCUUCGCCGGCACCUCAUAUAUGAGGGUGGCUGAUCAGGGGCUCUGUGCUUUCAAACCGUCUUCGGACACUCUGACAACUUGACCUCAAAUCGAGUAGGACUACCCGCUGAACUUAAGCAUAUCAAUAAGCGGAGGA